rnacentral:lncRNA from 1 species
CACAACGAACUAAGCAAUUUGUUAACACGAUAUUAUAGUGAGAUUAACUAUUAGCAGGUAAAAACGGACACGUUAGACACUAUAUAGGAGUAGCUUCCCUCACUUGAUUUCGAUAGAAAAAAAACUCUGACCAUGUAUUUAAGUAGUGAUAUUGUGUGUUAUAUGUUGCCCCCAUCACGUACAAAUUUCCUUAUAAAUAUAAUCACACCCAUCAAUUUGCGAAGUUUUUUGUUGUUGUUGAAGUGCAUCAAUCUGCAAAGCUGAACCUCGUCAUUUGCUAAACCAAAUACUGCAUCUUUUUAAUUUUUUUUUAUCGAUGUAUAACGUCCAAUUGUUCAUCAGAUCAUUCCAUCACACUCUUAGUUCUGUUGUUUACCAGUUACAAUACCAUGGCUCUGGCUCAUAACAUAACCCUCAAAUCCCCACCAGUUUCCCUCUUUUCUUUCAUUUUGCAACAUCGAGAUUCACGAGGGAAGGGAACACCAACCUUUUCUCUUUUUCCUUCCAUUCAUCAAGCAGCAGAGGACCUUCUCAGACGCAAAAUCGCCCUAGCUAGGUUGCUCAAGGCAGGUUGUGAGCGCACCUUCUCCGCUAUGGAUAGCAUCAAGAAUAGAAUGCGAAAUCGUAUGAGAGAUGAAUAAUUAGAUGAUUGUUUAGUUACUAAUUAUAUAGAAAAAGAUGUAUUUGAUAGUGUUGAGAAUGAAAAAAUGGUGCCGAGUUUUCAAAAUUGUAUAGUUACACGUAGGGAACAACUAUAAUAUUCUUUCAAAUUCUAAUAGC